CUUUUUCAAAAAACUGUUCAUGUGGGCUAAAGGCCCCGAACAUGGGAAACUUCGUGUUUUUACUAACGAGUUUCCUCCAUAUCAACACUGGUGAUGUACAUUGGUGAUGUGAAGUGAGACAUAAUUCGCGAAUGCAAUUGAAUGUAAUGUUGUAAUUUCACGGCAUGAAGCAUGCAUGUGCAGUAUUCCUCUAAUGAACAUAACAAUCGUGAGUUUAUAGAUUUUUAGCCAAGUUUGGCCAUUAGGUUAUUGGAUAGUUUAAUGUAAUCAACAAACUCAAAUUCAAAUGUAUCUAACAUAGAGAACAAUAUUUCAAAAAAACAGUCAGUCUUUUUGUGUGAAGUUUGCAAAGGGCUUAGAAGGGCUUAGAGCAAUUUUUACCAAGUUUCUGACGUUAGUUUUGACGUUUUGUACUAGCUAUAUAAAGUAUAACCUGCAUGUAAUGCAUGGAUGUUUCUGCAGGACAAGAUAUUUGUCAGACAUAUGAUUGCAGUGUACCAUUCGCUGGAUAAAGGAUCAGACUAUUGACAGUAUUUGAAAGUG